rnacentral:rRNA from 1 species
AUUGAACGCUGGCGGCAGGCCUAACACAUGCAAGUCGAGCGGAGCCGCGGACGGGGGAGUCAUGCCUAGGAAUCUGCCUGGUAGUGGGGGAUGACGUCCGCAAACGGGCGCUAUUACCGCAUACUAUCAGAUGAGCCUAGGUCGGAUUAGCUAGUUGGUGGGGUAGAGGACUACCAAGGCGACGAUCCGUAACUGGUCUGAGAGGAUGAUCAGUCACAAUGGGACUGAGACAAGGACCGGAAUCGUAACGGCGGGAGCAGUGGGGAAUAUUGGACAAUGGGCGAAAGCCUGAUCCAGCCAUGCCGCGUGUGUGAAGAAGGUCUUAGGAUUGUAAAGCACUUUAAGUUGGGAGGCGUUACCAACAGAAUAAGAACCGGCUAACUUCGUGCCAGCCGCCGCGGUAAUAA